GAUGAACGCUGGCGGCGUGCCUAAUACAUGCAAGUCGAACGCUUCACAUAUGUGAAGAGUGGCGAACGGGUGAGUAAUACAUAAGUAACCUGGCCUUUACAGGGGGAUAACUAUUGGAAACGAUAGCUAAAACCGCAUAGGUGUCAUAACCGCAUGGAGAUGAUAUGAAAUAUGCUACGGCAUAGGUAGAGGAUGGACUUAUGGCGCAUUAGCUAGUUGGAGGGGUAACGGCCCACCAAGGCGACGAUGCGUAGCCGACCUGAGAGGGUGACCGGCCACACUGGGACUGAGACACGGCCCAGACUCCUACGGGAGGCAGCAGUAGGGAAUUUUCGGCAAUGGGGGAAACCCUGACCGAGCAACGCCGCGUGAAGGAAGAAGUAAUUCGUUAUGUAAACUUCUGUCAUAGAGGAAGAACGGUGCGUGUAGGGAAUGACAUGCAAGUGACGGUACUCUAUAAGAAAGCCACGGCUAACUACGUGC
rnacentral:rRNA from 1 species